GAAAUUUUUACAGUGUGUUGUACUACUUUUGGGACAAAUUAUAUCAAAAUUAUAGAAAACUUCAUCGGCUCUAACUCAAAAUAUGGACAAUUCUAUGUUUAGGGCGUCUUGAAAUCUUUUGACAGCUUCCGAAGUGCUAAUUUUUAACCUUUUUCAGCUGGACCAAAUCACUACUUUCCUUUAAAAUUCUGGACCCAAAUUCUUUUACAGUGUAAUUUCACUCCCCUACUUGCAAUUUGAGGCAUUAAACAUGGAGAAAUAAAUUUGGAAGGGGUAUACAAAUUAAUGGCAAGUAACCCACUGUCAACACUAGGGACUAUAUUCGUGAACAACGAAAAUCAAGGGACGACAAUUGUGGUCUCGGACCUAAUAGGAUAGAAAGAGUUGAAUAAUCUUAAUAAAACUUGGUAUGACCAAAGCUUAAUAAAUUAUAACACUGCUUACAAAGUU
rnacentral:lncRNA from 1 species